CGUGGGGUACGGAUGACAUUGUGAUAGGGUGUGAGGCGAAGAGAGUUCUGGGAGUUGAGGUAUAAAGACUUAAAAUCUGGCAAGAGGAAGAUGAGGUCAUGGUAGGAGAUAUGCUCACAGUCUUUCCAGAGAGACCGUCACCCUCUCCCCAAGGGGGCAGCCUGAUGUUCCAGGAGGUGGCAGCCACUCGUCCAGGUCAGAAAGCGACUGCCAAGAACUCACUGGACCUUGGAAGUCAGCCAGCUGCCAAUCUGUCAGCUUGCAUCCGGAGGGCUGGAGAAGAAGCGCUGUGUUAACUGUGCAACUCUGUGCUGCUGUGCACGCUCGAAGAGGGAACUUUGAGAGGGAAGAGGAGAACGCCCUGUCACCACUGAGGCAGAGACUGGAGUGAAGCAACUCCAAAUCCAAUGGAAGGAUCCUCCCCCGGAUCCUUUGGAGGGACCCUGGUGACACCUCGAUUUCAGACCUAUGGCCUCCAAAACAGUGAGAGAAUACAU
rnacentral:lncRNA from 1 species